UUGAUAUCCAUAUCCAUUACGGUUUGUAUUCAUCAAAUUUCAAUGCGUCCGUAGCUAUAGUCGACACGGGUAUUUAAAUUCAAUGGAUGACACAUUAUAUUUAUGAAGUUCAGAUGAUAUGAAAUAAUCCUAGUGAAAAAAAUCUAUGGGAAAUGCUCAAAAUGCUUCAUCCUCCAAAACACGAGGAGCUAGAGUAGAAAUUCAAUCACCACAACAUGACGAUGAUAAUAAUGGCACUCGUGUUAAAUUUGCCAACGAAAAAAGGAAUCACCAGACAUACACAAUUACUCCCAAAAUGGUGGUUGGAGAAGUACAUCCUGAUGAUGUAACACCUAGAGUUGUUCGGAAUCGAACAAAACCCCCAGCUGGUUUAGAGGAAUCUGAGGCCAAAGAAGAAGCCGCUAAAUAUAAAACCAUCUCUGAAGCAUCUAUUAAACCACAUCCUGAUAUGAAGGAUGAAUAUUCUGGUGAUAAAAUUCCACCAAAACAUAAAAUAUUGAAAGAAGUGGAUGAAAUAUAAAAAAAAUUUCUUCGUGUAAAAUUACGAUACUAGUCAAUGAUUUUUUUUUUCUAAUUUGUAGAAAUAAGUGUGUAAACAUGAUAGUCAGGACUUGUGAAUUUUAUUUUUUCAUGACUUUUACGCUAUAGAAUUUAGCCAAAAGAAAUAUAUUCCGUUAUUUUUUUUACUUAAUAAAGUGUACGUUAUAAUGAUUCGUGGGCGUACUGUCUCUAUAAUUGAUUUAAGUUGCAUUUGUAUUUAAUAAAAUUAUUGCAUCUUAA